GGGGUUGGACAGGUGUGGUAAGUAUAAAUGCGUUGGUAUUUUCUUACUUUUAAGACAUUGCGUGGAUGGUAACAUUAACAUAUGGCUUUGCUUUGUUUACAUUUUAGAAUUUCAGGAAAUUUACAUAGGUCAGUUUAAUUGAGUUUAAAAUUAAUUUUUGUUUAUAUUUUCAGGUAUUUUCGCCAGAAGGACGGAAGCACCGAGCCACAGGAGUCAUUGCCGGUGGGGAAUGGGGGUUAUUUGUCCCAGUUCUUUGCAGCCGCAGGCUGCGCGCUAAUUUCGAAUUUGAGUGGGGCCGGCGUUUCUGGUAAGUAUCAUUCAUGGUGGAAAUUUUUGCCAGCUGUUGUUGUUUUGCUUUUGAGUUUUCAUUUUGGUUUCAGCAGUUUCACCAGUCGUCAUUGUUUAAGCUUCGUAUGGAGAUCCCGCGCUGCCGUCAAUUUUGAUUUCCUUGGAGCCGCUGGCAACGUUUGGCGAUGGGGUCUGCUUAUUUUGGGCAGAGAAGUCGUCGCUUUCAGUGGAGUUUGUUGUUGCCAGCGGCGCCGCGUCUGCCAGAUAGUUUGCAGGAGGCUGCCAACCCGCCCGUGGGUCUCAUCGCCAGCCGUCAAAGGUCCAAAGCGCAGUGGAUUCCCGCGCCGCCGUCUUAUUCCAAGGUCCAGGGAGUUGCUGCAUUUCAGCUGGAGUUCUACAUUGCGUAGUGGAUUCCCGCGCCGCCGUCUUAUUCCAGGGUCCAGGGAGUUGCUGCACUUCAGCUGGAGUUCAUCAGGGUAUCGGCGAGAGCGUCGUCAUUGAUUUGGAAUCAUAAGGGUCGUCGCUUUUGUAGGUCGUCUCGCCAGGGAAAAGGAAGCAUCUUUUGGACGCCGGGCCAAGAUGCUUUGCUUUGGGCCGUCGCUCGUAAAAGUCCAUGGAAUUGAAUGCAGAAAAUUGGAUUAGAUAAGUAUAUCUAUGUGUUUAGUUUUGUUUUGUCUGAUUUUAGUUUUUUUUUUUCUUUUCUUUUGCAGGUCCAAAUUGUCCAGGAUUUUUCAAGUUUGUCCGGUGGGAUUGGAAAGGAAACAUUGCCAUGGAGUUAUAAGAAGCAUCGUUUGGGAGGGAUAUUGUCAGUAUACCGUUGCUACCAGGAAAAGGUGGAAUUUAAGGGUCACGAUUUUGACCUUUUGCCGGGUCAGCAGCGCCGCACUUGGAAUUCGUAAGGACGAGAAGGCAUCCCAAUAUGGAAACGGCAUCAAAACAUUUUAGGUUUUUAAUGUUUUAGGUGCCGAAAUCAUUGUUUUUCAUUUCGCCGAGUCGGGAAAUAGGAUAUUGUCAGUAUACCGUUGCUACCAGGAAAAGGUGGAAUUUAAGGGUCACGAUUUUGACCUUUUGCCGGGUCAGCAGCGCCGCACUUGGAAUUCGUAAGGACGAGAAGGCAUCCCAAUAUGGAAACGGCAUCAAAACAUUUUAGGUUUUUAAUGUUUUAGGUGCCGAAAUCAUUGUUUUUCAUUUCGCCGAGUCGGGAAAUAGGAUAUUGUCAGUAUACCGUUGCUACCAGGAAAAGGUGGAAUUUAAGGGUCACGAUUUUGACCUUUUGCCGGGUCAGCAGCGCCGCACUUGGAAUUCGUAAGGACGAGAAGGCAUCCCAAUAUGGAAACGGCAUCAAAACAUUUUAGGUUUUUAAUGUUUUAGGUGCCGAAAUCAUUGUUUUUCAUUUCGCCGAGUCGGGAAAUAGGAUAUUGUCAGUAUACCGUUGCUACCAGGAAAAGGUGGAAUUUAAGGGUCACGAUUUUGACCUUUUGCCGGGUCAGCAGCGCCGCACUUGGAAUUCGUAAGGACGAGAAGGCAUCCCAAUAUGGAAACGGCAUCAAAACAUUUUAGGUUUUUAAUGUUUUAGGUGCCGAAAUCAUUGUUUUUCAUUUCGCCGAGUCGGAAAAUAGGAUUUUGACUGUAUACCGUUGCUGCCAGGGAGAAGUCGAAUUCAAGGGUCGCAAGAUUGACCUUUUGCCUGGUUAGCAGCGGCGCACCUAGAGUUCAGAAGGACGAGGGGGCAUCCCAACAUGGAAAUGGCAUCAAAACAUUAUACAUUUUUAAUGUUUUAGGUGCCAAAAACAUCGUUUUCCGUUGCGCCGAG